GGGUGGGAUCAAACUAGCACUAAUGCACCGGAUCCCAUCAGAACUCCGCAGUUAAGCGUGCUCCAGUGAGAGUAGUACUAGGAUGGGUGACCUCUUGGGAAGUACUCAUGUUGAACCCC
rfam:Corchorus capsularis cultivar CVL-1 contig15105, whole genome shotgun sequence.